rnacentral:rRNA from 1 species
ACCUACGGGGGGCAGCAGUAAGGAAUUUUCGUCAAUGGGCGCAAGCCUGAACGAGCAAUGCCGCGUGAACGAGGAAGGUCUUCGGAUCGUAAAGUUCUGUUGCAGGGGAAAAAGAGCGGAGAGAGGAAAUGGUCUCCGAUUGAUAUUACCCUUCGAGGAAGUCACGGCUAACUACGUGCCAGCAGCCGCGGUAAUACGUAGGUGGCGAGCGUUAUCCGGAAUGAUUGGGCGUAAAGGGUGCGUAGGCGGCCUGCUAAGUCUGGAGUGAAAGGUACGGGCUCAACCGGUACAGGCUCUGGAAACUG